rnacentral:rRNA from 1 species
CCUACGGGUGGCAGCAGUGAGGAAUAGUGGUCAAUGGACGCAAGUCUGAACCAGCCAUGCCGCGUGCAGGAUGACGGCUCUAUGAGUUGUAAACUGCUUUUGUACGAGGGUAAACCCCGAUACGUGUAUCGGGUUGAAAGUAGCGUACGAAUAAGGAUCGGCUAACUCCGUGCCAGCAGCCGCGGUAAUACGGAGGAGCCGAGCGUUAUCCGGAUUGAGUGGGUUUAAAGGGUGCGUAGGCGGUUUGAUAAGUUAGAGGUGAAAUGUCGGGGCUCAACCCCGAAACUGCCUCUACUACUGUUGGACUAGCUCAUAGUUGCGGUAGGCGGACUGUCUGUUGUAGCGGUUA